rnacentral:rRNA from 1 species
GACGAACGCUGGCGGCGUGCUUAACACAUGCAAGUCGAACGAAAAGAGGGAAAGAGCUUGCUCUUUCCGGAAUUGAGUGGCAAACGGGUGAGUAACACGUAAACAACCUGCCUUCAGGAUGGGGACAACAGACGGAAACGACUGCUAAUACCGAAUAAGUUCCAAGGGCCGCAUGGCCCAUGGAAGAAAAGGUGGCCUCUACCUGUAAGCUAUCGCCUGAAGAGGGGUUUGCGUCUGAUUAGCUGGUUGGAGGGGUAACGGCCCACCAAGGCGACGAUCAGUAGCCGGUCUGAGAGGAUGAACGGCCACACUGGAACUGAGACACGGUCCAGACUCCUACGGGAGGCAGCAGUGGGGAAUCUUCCGCAAUGGGCGAAAGCCUGACGGAGCAACGCCGCGUGAGUGAUGACGGCCUUCGGGUUGUAAAACUCUGUGAUCCGGGGCGAAAAGGCAGAGUGCGAAGAACAAACUGCAUUGACGGUACCGGAAAAGCAAGCCACGGCUAACUACGUG